CUGGCAAAGGCUCAGGGCAAAAACCUAUUGAUGGCUUCUCAUUGGCUGGUGGUGGUGCAUUGUCAUCAACCAGAGAAGGCAUGUACUACUGUGUCACUCAGUCUGAUUCAAGAAGCUUUGACUUAGAGCAGUGAUCAGUAACCUCUCAAAUCUCAGGAGCCGAUGCUAGGUGGGUCCCAGGUCCACCUGUCCUGUCCAUGGGGCUCCAGUAGGGGAUGGACUAAACAGCCAAUGGUUUCCUUGGAGUCCAGCAAAGGAGCCAUUAAUGCAGAUGGAAGACCAGGGUCUGAUUGCGGGACAUCUUUUCCAUUCUGGGGCCUCGGAGGGCCUGGGGGCAGGGGGGCUACUGGAGACCACCACCAUUCCACGGCCAGGCAGGGUGUGCUCAGGGGUCAGCCUACAUCCUGUUCUCUCCCCACCCUCCAUGUCCUACCACUGACUGCCCCCCACAGAAGCCACAGGAGCCCAGGGGAUGCAGUCCACGGGGUGGCCGGCCCCCUGGCACAGAGCAGAGAAGGGUACGUGGCAAACAAACCUGGGGAACGGCCAGCUCGCAUUUCCAGAAGGAAGUUGUCCCAGAACCCAGCCUCGGAGCUUGAGUGCAAGAACCCAAAGCCAAACUUGUACUUCUUCCAAGGUUGUGAGUAGCCGACAGGGGAUGGUCCUCCAAGCCACACAGACCUAGGAGUGACUCCUUGCCUUACCCACUCUCCGUGUCCUCGGCGAUCACACGAGGCUAACGAUGUCUGCUGUAUAGGGGAAGGGUAUCGAGGGCUGUGGCGAGGGGACAGGGGCCUGCAACCUGUCUGCCAAAUGACAGGGGUAGGUGAACACGUCCCUCUACUCCACUCUCCUCACCUUGAAGUCCCUCCUGUCCCACCUGUUCUCCAUGUAAAGCCUAGCAGAGCACCUGCCAUAAAAUAUUGACUUCUGGACCCUGCUGGUUUCUGGAAGAGCUUAGGAUUAGGUAACUUGACUGACUCCCGUCUUUGACAGGUACCUUCUGAUCUUCAUGUGCCAGAUGGGGCAUGGUUAGGAUUGGAAGUGUUGAGAAGGUGCCUGGCGUCCGGAGAGCAUUCUGCGAGGGCUGUGGCAGUUACCACUCUGUCCUGAUCCCUAGUAUGAGGCCAGAAUGAAAACCUCCCAUACAGCACAUAGCAAGCUUCCCAAAAGCCUACUAGCUCCAUUCUAUGGAGGAGCCACCUGUGGUCAACGUGGCUCCAGUUCCCCACUCAGCCAAACCCUAAUCCAGGUGCUGCUGGGAAGGGAUUUUGUAGGUGUAAUGAAAGGCCAUAACUGGGUGAUGUCCCCAAGGAAGACCCACCAGCCGUGGACAGCGGCACCAGCCUGCAAUGGAGAAUACCAGUCUGUCCUUCCUGGUGGCUCCCCCCCAGCCCCCAUGGAUUCUAGACUUGCUGAGCCAGAGUUGUGACCUCACAAUUGUGUAAACCAACUCCUUGAGAUAAAUCUCUUCAUGCCUCAGUCUUCCUGGUUCUGCUCUGGUCCAGCACCUGAGCCUCUGAGAGGUUGAGGGACUUGCCUGGGGCUUGCUCAACAAGCGGUGGAGACCCAGGCCCAUCUGACCCCAAGCCCUAUGCAUCUGCUCAAACCGGGAGAGGUCACAAGGCCCAGGAUAAGAGGACACUGGUUAUGCCCCCCCACCAUGUGUCCCAGGGACUUCGUACCUGGCUCCCCCAUCAUACCCAGCACUGCAACCUACACCGUGCAGGUGGUGGAUGUUUAUCCCAAGAAUGGAGGAGCAGCCACUGCUACUGGAAGAUGGGGUUGGAGGAUAGCCCUGCAACUUGAGGGAGCAGGCCCUGUGCCCACUCAGAGAAUCCCUCCGGGAAAAUCCCCUCCCCCCACCUGCUAACACCUUUUACAAGAUGCCACCCACUCCCCCUUCAGAAACUGUCUAUUCCUGGUGUUGCACUGGGGCAUUGUCAUGGCAACGGGACAACACGAGAGGCCAGGCGAGCCGGCUUGUUUCUCUGAUGGUUCUGUGGGGACCUCAUGGUACACAGAGCGGCUAUGCAAGCCGCUGCCAUCUGCUCUGAGCUGGGACUCCAGGCCCCUUCUUCCUUCUCUCCUCACUGGACUCCAUCUCGCCCCAGGCCUGGGACCUUGUCUCCCUGGCACCAGGGCCUAGGAGAAAUGCUGGCCAAGAAGAGCAGAAAACCCAAGUUGAUCCUGACACUGAAGCCUGGAGCUGGGCUGGCCCCACCAGUGCUGGGUGGAAACCUCGGUGCUGCUGCCCGUGAAGCCACCCUGCCGGGUGGGGGGGGUGCUUCCGAGGGGAGCAACCAGAGCUGACCUCCCCCUGCUACCUCAGACCGGAGCUGGAGGGAGCCGACCUUCCUGAAGCUGAGUGGCUAGCAGCAAGGCAGCUGGACCUUCUGGGAGGGCAGGGCAGGGCCCGGGUGCCGCCUCAGGGUGAUGUGUGUCCUGUGUGUCCAAGGUCAACACCCCAUCCCUCAGGGUCCUUCUCCACCCCCGAUCUACCAGUGGGUCUGAGUUGGCACUACCCAGGGGAGUGAGGGCAGAUCCCCCCACCAUCUACAGGGGCAGAGAGAGGUGCAGGGGGCUGUAGGGCUACGCAUUACCAUCCCACCCCCCUCUGCCCCACAGACCCCAGCCUGCGGCCAUGCUAGCUUCUGUCAGCCGGGACCCUGCGGGAGAGGAAUCCAAUUGCUUCUCCUUAACCUUGUGCGUCCUGUGGCAACUCCAGGUCCGUGCAAGGGCAGGGAGAGCCAGCACUGGCUGACCUGGCUGGCCCCAGUCCUCCCUCAAGCUCACCUUUCCCGUAAGAUCUGCCCUGAGCGCCACUCACACAGGCCACCGCCUCCCAUCAGCCUCCGAGCACCCCAGCUCCAGCCCUCUCCUCCUCCGUUCCCUGACCACACCUUCAAACGAAUGGCAUCACUUCUCUGACAUUAUUUCUCAUCCAGUGUUACCUGUAA